GCCGAAGUGGCGGAACUGGUAGACGCGCUGCCUUGAGGGGGCAGUGGGGAACUUCCCUGUGGGGGUUCGAGUCCCCCCUUCGGCACCA
rnacentral:tRNA from 1 species